rnacentral:rRNA from 1 species
GGACGAACGCUGGCGGCGUGCUUAACACAUGCAAGUCGUGCGAGGAUGUGAUUGGAAGGUCUUCGGAUUGGAAGAUCAUAUCCGAGCGGCGGACGGGUGAGUAACGCGUGAGCAACCUGCCUUCAACAGGGGGAUAACGCAUCGAAAGAUGUGCUAAUACCGCGUAAGACCACGGCAUCACAUGGUGCAGGGGUCAAAGGAGCAAUCCGGUUGAAGAUGGGCUCGCGUCCGAUUAGCCAGUUGGUGAGGUAACGGCCCACCAAAGCGACGAUCGGUAGCCGACCUGAGAGGGUGAUCGGCCACAUUGGAACUGAGACACGGUCCAGACUCCUACGGGAGGCAGCAGUGGGGAAUAUUGGGCAAUGGGCGAAAAGCCUGACCCAGCAACGCCGCGUGAGGGAAGAAGGGUUUCGGCUCGUAAACCUCUGUCCUAAAGGGCGAAAGAAAUGACGGUACUUUAGGAGGAAGCCCCGGCUAACUACGUGCCAGCAGCAGC